GAUAGAGCGCAUGCGUGAGAUAUGCUGAACAGCGGGCAGCGUUCAGGGAUCAGGACAGACUCACAUAGAGAUCAAAACCCAGCUGCACAACUGUCGUUCAAAAAUGAAAAAUAAUAUGGAGGAAAUAUAUUUGUGAAAAAACAUGUUUCUUGUCGUCUUUCUAAGCGCCCGGGCAUGCACCGCAUUCAGUGACCGCCCCCCUCUGACACAGGUCCUUAUUGAUUAGACCUCGUUCUAAACGGCACUCAUAGCGGUGUGUCGUGGUCCCCAACAGACCACCACCACCACCACUGCCACCUGUCCCUUCCCCCACUUAAGCCUAGAGGGCUGAAGGAAGACGCGAGGCAGCAGUAGCAGCAGCAGCAGCUAUUCCCGGGCGUGAAAACCCAGACACCAAAGUCGCAUUAGAGCCCCCCCAUGGAACCGAUGACACCAAGUGGUUACCUGUCUUCUGCCCUCACGCGGACGUGACGCAAGGCUGUGGGGAUGGGAGGGAGUACGGUGGUGGGGCUGACAUCACUGAACACUCAGAGGAGCCGCAGAUGCACAAAUAAAGGAACUGGUGUAGAAUGAAGCUGGUGAGGUAGGUGUUUGAAAAUACCCAGGAGGAUGGGCUAAUGACAAGGUCAAUAUAAAAAUGUCAUUGGUGAAAUGAAACGGGCCGAAGGUGGGAUAGGGUUGACAUGGGGGUGUGUUUCUAUAGUUAUAUCUAGUGACGCUACGAGAGAGAGAGAGAGAGAGAGAGAGAGAGAGAGAGAGAGAGAGAGAGAGAGAGAGAGAGAGAGAGAGAGAGAGAGAGAGAGAGAGAGAGAGAGAGAGAGAGAGAGAGAGAGAGAGAGAGAGAGAGAGAGAGAGAGAGAGAGAGAGAGAGAGAGAGAGAGAUGGGGCUGGAGGAAGAGGAGUGGGAGGGGGUGAAGGCACGGGGCCUUGUGGCGAGGGAGCAGGAGGUGUGAGAGACGACAGCAGCGUGGCGACCGAGGGACUUCUCUCCUGAACUCCUCUAAUCUCUGAUAUUGAUGUGGGGAAGGAACGGGGGGGGGGGGGGGGAAUCUCUGGAGAGCAGUCCCCCCACACAUAGACAUAUCCUCUCAAAAUAAGGCCACUUUGGAUUCAAUUUGAAGUGUCUCUCCAGUGGCUCACACUACAAAACGGAGAAGGAAGAGGGGAAAAAAAGGGAGGCAGGAAAACAUAGGCACUCACUUAGGCUCCACCAGGUUUUUUCUGGUAAAGAGCCCGGCCCUCAUGCUUCUUGGGUUAACUGGGUUUUGAGAAUGGACUUCAGAUGACCCGAAUCUAACACACACACCCAACCACACACAUAUUCACACAGCAUACAUCCAUAUUGAAUCAGAUAUCCCGUCCAUACCAUUAAAACACAGAAUAAUCUGUUUCGUGACUCUUCUGAGUCACAAAUCUAAUUGGGAUAAAACGUUUGAUAUUUCGAUAUGGAAAACAGACUGACUGACACACACACACACACUCAAAUGACUGAUGGCAGCCGUGGGCCCAAUCUGCACUAUAGUAUGACGAUUGUCUAUCUCUGCUCUCCUCCAUCUGCCUACUUGAUUUAUGACGGCGGUACAACAACAGCAACAACAACAAAAUCACAAAGAUCUUUCUUCACAUCCUGCUUGAGUAAUACAACAGUCGAUUGCUGUCACAUUUUCAAACCUUUAUCACAGGAAAGACUCACAACACCCCCAUCCCCUCUCCACCCCUCACUGCAUACCUCAAACCUCCAGCUGUCCUCCUCCUCCUCGUCCAGAUGCAUCAUGGUCCGGUGCUGCCCCUGCUCCUCUGUGACUGGCUGAGGGGAGAGGUGAAACUCCGCCCUCUGGAGGUUGAAGCCCAGCCCCGUGCCAAUGGCCUUGAUGAAGCUCUCCUUCAGCGCCUGGGCAUGGAGAAGAGCCUCAGGGUUACCUCCCCUCGUCAGCUGUGUCGAGGAGCAAAGCAUGAAUGGGUGCAUUCCAAAUGUGCCUCAUUAACCCCUACAGCGGACUCAUGGGCCUACAAUGCC